rnacentral:rRNA from 1 species
UACGGAGGGUGCAAGCGUUAAUCGGAAUUACUGGGCGUAAAGCGCACGCAGGCGGUCUGUCAAGUCGGAUGUGAAAUCCCCGGGCUCAACCUGGGAACUGCAUCCGAAACUGGCAGGCUAGAGUCUUGUAGAGGGGGGUAGAAUUCCAGGUGUAGCGGUGAAAUGCGUAGAGAUCUGGAGGAAGACCGGUGGCGAAGGCGGCCCCCUGGACAAAGACUGACGCUCAGGUGCGAAAGCGUGGGGAGCAAACAGGAUUAGCUACCCUGGUCGUCCACGCCGAAACGAUGUCGACUUGGAGGUUGUGCCCUUGAGGCGUGGCUUACGGAGCUAACGCGUUAAGUCGACCGCCUGGGGAGUACGGCCGCAAGGUUAAA